UUGAGUGUUGGAGAGGAAAGGCUGGAAGACCGACUGGAAGUUUUCACUGUCCUGCUGUAAAAGUAUGGGUCAGUUAAUUAAACAUCUGCCCUCUGCUGGCCAGGUAUUGAACACUCAGCUAAAAUAUUCUGAAAGACAAGGGUGCCGAGAUAAGACAGUGAUACAAAUAAAAGACUAAAACAACAGAAAAAGAGCAAGAGGAAGAAUAAAGAUGAGCCAGGAAAGAGAGACUGGACGAUGGUGCCGUUGGGAAGGAGCAACAUUUUAGUGAAGAUCAUUCUGUGGCUGACAGUCUCUGUCUCUGAUUUCAAAUGUACUUUGAAAUCACACAAUAAAACUAAACAAUGUUAGAAAAUAACAAUAUAAUAAUGACAUUUGUGUAUAGAUAGGUACAAGAAAUGAUGAUAUGAUUACAAUAAAAUUGUGAUGAAUUAAUAAAGAAAGAAUGAAUAAAUAAAAAGAAAGAAAAUGAAACAUAAUUGUUUGGUGACUCUCUUUCAUCAACUCACUUUUAAUCCACAUAAGUCUACGAAGAAGACGCUUAAUAAAGAAGAAAUAAAAAUAGAAAAUAUAUUAUCUCCAU